rnacentral:rRNA from 1 species
GAUGAACGCUAGCGGGAGGCCUAAUACAUGCAAGUCGAGCGGUAGAGUGACUUCGGUUGCUUGAGAGCGGCGAACGGGUGAGUAACGCGUACACAAUCUACCUUUAAGAGGGGAAUAACCCUGGGAAACUGGGAUUAAUGCCCCAUGGCAUCACGAGACGGCAUCGUUUUGUGAUUAAAGCUGAGGUGCUUAGAGAUGAGUGUGCGUCUGAUUAGCUAGUUGGUGCGGUAACGGCGCACCAAGGCGACGAUCAGUAGGGGGCGUGAGAGCGUGGACCCCCACACGGGUACUGAGACACGGACCCGACUCCUACGGGAGGCAGCAGUAAGGAAUAUUGGUCAAUGGAGGAAACUCUGAACCAGCCAUCCCGCGUGCAGGAAGAAUGCCCUAUGGGUUGUAAACUGCUUUUAUCUGGGAAGAAAAGUCGGGAUUUAUCCUGAUCUGACGGUACCAGAGGAAUAAGCACCGGCUAACUCCGUGCCAGCAGCCGCGGUAA